CUACGGGUUGCACCAGUGAGGAAUAUUGCACAAUGGGGGAAACCCUGAUGCAGCAACGCCGCGUGGAGGAUGACGCAUUUCGGUGUGUAAACUCCUUUUAUCAGAGAAGAAAAUGACGGUAUCUGAUGAAUAAGCUCCGGCUAACUCCGUGCCAGCAGCCGCGGUAAUACGGAGGGAGCAAGCGUUAUUCGGAAUCACUGGGCGUAAAGGACGCGUAGGCGGGUUUUUAAGUCAGGUGUGAAAUCCUAUGGCUCAACCAUAGAACUGCACUUGAAACUGGGGACCUAGAGUAUGGAAGGGGCAGGUGGAAUUAGUGGUGUAGGGGUAAAAUCCGUAGAUAUCACUAGGAAUACCGAAAGCGAAGGCGACCUGCUGGGAUAUUACUGACGCUGAGGCGUGAAAGCGUGGGGAGCAAACAGGAUUAGAUACCCUCGUAGUC
rnacentral:rRNA from 1 species